UACGUAGGGUGCAAGCGUUAAUCGGAAUUACUGGGCGUAAAGCGUGCGCAGGCGGUUGUGCAAGACCGAUGUGAAAUCCCCGGGCUCAACCUGGGAACUGCAUUUGUGACUGCAAGGCUAGAGUACGGCAGAGGGGGAUGGAAUUCCGCGUGUAGCAGUGAAAUGCGUAGAUAUGCGGAGGAACACCAAUGGCGAAGGCAAUCCCCUGGGCCGGUACUGACGCUCAUGCACGAAAGCGUGGGGAGCAAACAGG
rnacentral:rRNA from 1 species